CAGGGAUAUCUGAUUAUUACUACUUUUAAACUAGGGGCUUCAAGUAAAAGGAAAAGAAGUGUUUCUCCAUAGACAAUAGUGCAGUACUUCAGAAUCAGUGUUAAUCUUAGCAAUACAGGAUGACCAUCCCUUAACCAAAAUGCUUAGGACCAGUAGUGUUUUGGAUUUCAGAGUUUUUGAAUUUUUGAAUAUUUGCAUAUAUAGAAUGAAUAUCUUGGGCAUGGGACCCAAGUCUAAACAUGGAAUUCAUUAUUGUUUCCUAUACACCUUGUGCACAUAGCUGGAAGCUAAUUUUAUUCAAUGUUUUAGUGAGCGUGCGUUCUCACUGCCACCUAUCACAUGAGGUGAGAUGUGAUGUCAUGUCGGUGCCCAGAAAGUUGGAGAUUUUGAAGCGCUUUGCAUUUUUGGAUUAGAGAUGCUCAACCUAUAGUUGAAUCCAACUGAUGGAUUUUGUAGAUGAAUGAACUGAUGUCCAGGCAACUUGGUGGUAGAGCAGAGUUUUAAACUCCAGUGACAGACCCAAGGCUGUGACAUUAAUUUUUUUGCAACACCUGUCCUAUCUGUUUUCUCUUUUCUCCCUCCCUCUUCUCCUUAUCACUGGCUACUCAUCACCCUGUAAGCAUGCCAGAGUGGAUGUGAUAAGAAGGGUUAGACUUCAGUUAUAGAAAACCAACAAUCUUUGC
rnacentral:lncRNA from 1 species